GAUGAACGCUGGCGGCGUGCCUAAUACAUGCAAGUCGAGCGAACAGAUGAGGAGCUUGCUCCUCUGACGUUAGCGGCGGACGGGUGAGUAACACGUGGAUAACCUACCUAUAAGACUGGGAUAACUUCGGGAAACCGGAGCUAAUACCGGAUAAUAUAUUGAACCGCAGGGUUCAAUAGUGAAAGACGGUUUUGCUGUCACUUAUAGAUGGAUCCGCGCCGCAUUAGCUAGUUGGUAAGGUAACGGCCUACCAAGGCAACGAUGCGUAGCCGACCUGAGAGGGUGAUCGGCCACACUGGAACUGAGACACGGUCCAGACUCCUACGGGAGGCAGCAGUAGGGAAUCUUCCGCAAUGGGCGAAAGCCUGACGGAGCAACGCCGCGUGAGUGAUGAAGGUCUUCGGAUCGUAAAACUCUGUUAUUAGGGAAGAACAAAUGUGUAAGUAACUAUGCACGUCUUGACGGUACCUAAUCAGAAAGCCCCGGCUAACUACGUG
rnacentral:rRNA from 1 species